rnacentral:rRNA from 12 species
CAAGGAACUAAGAGUUUAUGGGGGAUACCUUGGCAUUCAGAAGCGAUGAAGGACGUGGUUACCGACGAUACGCUUCGGGGAGCUGGAAACAAGCUAUGAUCCGGAGGUCUCCGAAUGAGGCAACUUUUUAACUACUUAUUGAAUUCAUAGAUAAGAAAGAGCGAACCUAGAGAAUUGAAACAUCUUAGUACCUAGAGGAAAAGAAAGUAAAAACGAUUCCCUGAGUAGCGGCGAGCGAAACGGGAUUAGCCUAAACUUAAUUAUAAAUUAAGGGUAGUGGGACAAUAACAAAAAAUUUAAUGGAACAAUUAGAGGAAUAAGUUUGGAAUACUUAACCAUAGGGAGUGAUAGUCUCGUACUCGAAAAUUGAACCAAUUUAAUUGUAUCCCAAGUAGCAUGGAGCACGUGAAAUUCCGUGUGAAUCUGCGAGGACCACCUCGUAAGGCUAAAUAUUCCUGAAUGACCGAUAGUGAAACAGUACCGUGAGGGAAAGGUGAAAAGAACCCCGGGAGGGGAGUGAAAAGAACAUGAAACCAUAAACUUACAAGCAGUAGGAGGACGACUAAAACGUCUGACUGCGUGCCUGUUGAAGAAUGAGCCGGCGACUUAUAGGUAGUGGCAGGUUAAGGUAGUGAAUACCGAAGCCACAGUGAAAGCGAGCCUGAAUAGGGCGUUUGUCACUAGUUAUAGACCCGAACCCGGAUGAUCUAACCAUGGGCAGGUUGAAGCUUGGGUAAUACUAAGUGGAGGACCGAACCGACUGAUGUUGAAAAAUCAGCGGAUGACUUGUGGUUAGGGGUGAAAUGCCAAUCGAAUUCGGAGCUAGCUGGUUCUCCCCGAAAUGCGUUUUGGCGCAGCGGUAGAUGUUAUAGUUUAGGGGUAAAGCACUGUUACGUAUGCGGGCUGGUAAUUCGGUACCAAAUCGUUGCAAACUAAGAAUACUAAAUGUAUAGUCUACCAGUAAGACUGUGGGGGAUAAGCUCCAUUGUCAAGAGGGAAACAGCCCAGAGCACCAGUUAAGGCCCUUAAAUAAUUACUAAGUGGUAAAGGAGGUGGGAGUGCAUAAACAAUCAGGAGGUUUGCUUAGAAGCAGCAAUCCUUUAAAGAGUGCGUAAUAGCUCACUGAUCGAGUAAACCUGCGCCGAAAAUGUAUGGGACUAAGUAAUUUGCCGAAACUGUGCGAUAUAUAUUUAUAUAUCGGUAGGGGAGCGUUCUGUUGUAGGUCGAAGUAUUAGCGUAAGCGGAUAUGGACGAAGCAGAAGUGAGAAUGUCGGCUUGAGUAACGAAAAUAUAGGUGGGAAUCCUAUACCCCGAAAACCCAAGGUUUCCUCCGGAAGGCUCGUCCGCGGAGGGUAAGUCAGGACCUAAGGCGAGGCUGAAAAGCGUAGUCGAUGGACAACGGGUUAAUAUUCCCGUACCGUUUUUUAUUGAUAUCGAGGGACGGAGAAGGCUAAGCUAGCCGGAUAUUGGUUUUACCGGUUUAAGCGUUCAAGAUGUUGAGAAGCGGCGAAAACGCUUUGAGUUGAGACGUGAGUACGAGACGCUAAGGCGUCGAAGUAGUGGAUGUCAUACUUCCAAGAAAAGCUUGCACUGUCAUAAAUAAAAAACGCCUGUACCAUAACCGACACAGGUGGGUAGGUAGAGUAUACUAAGGGGCGCGAGAUAACUCUCUCUAAGGAACUCGGCAAAAUGACUCCGUAACUUCGGGAGAAGGAGUGCCUUAUUCGUAAGGCUGCAAUAACAAGAUCCAAGCAACUGUUUAUCAAAAACACAGGUCUCCGCUAAGUCGUAAGACGAUGUAUGGGGGCUGACGCCUGCCCAGUGCCAGAAGGUUAAAGAAGUCGGUUAGCAUUAGCGAAGCUGGUAACUGAAGCCCUGGUGAACGGCGGCCGUAACGAUAACGGUCCUAAGGUAGCGAAAUUCCUUGUCGGGUAAGUUCCGACCUGCACGAAUGGCGUAAUGAUGGCCACGCUGUCUCCACCCAAGACUCAGUGAAAUUGAAAUCGCUGUUAAGAUGCAGUGUACCCGCGGCUAGACGGAAAGACCCCGUGAACCUUUACUAUAGCUUCACAGUGGACUUUGAAUUUAUUUGUGUAGGAUAGGUGGGAGACUUUGAAGCGUUGUCGCUAGAUAGCGUGGAGUCAACCUUGAAAUACCACCCUGAUAACUUUGAGGUUCUAACUUAGGUCCCUAAUCGGGAUUGAGGACAUUGUGUGGUGGGUAGUUUGACUGGGGCGGUCUCCUCCCAAAGAGUAACGGAGGAGCACGAAGGUACCCUAAGGACGGUCGGAAAUCGUCCGCUUAGUGUAAUGGCACAAGGGUGCUUGACUGCGAGAGUGACAACUCGAGCAGGUGCGAAAGCAGGUCAUAGUGAUCCGGUGGUUCUGUAUGGAAGGGCCAUCGCUCAACGGAUAAAAGGUACGCCAGGGAUAACAGGCUAAUCAUUCUUUAGAGACCCUAUCGAUGGAGUGGUUUGGCACCUCGAUGUUGGAUUAUCGCAUCCUGGAGCUGUAAAAGGUUCCAAGGGUUUGGCUGUUCGCCAAGAAAGGCGGUACAUGAUCUGAGUUUAGAACGUUGUAAAACAGUUUGGUCCCUAUCUACCGUAAGUGUUAAAAAUUAAAAGGAGUAGACCCUAGUACGAGAGGACCGGGAAAAGUGAAUCUCUGGUCAAUCGAUUGUUAUUUUAAUAGCAUAGUCGAGUAGCUAUAUUCAUAAUAGAUAAUUGUUGAAAGCAUUUAAACAAGAAACUAACCUUAAAAAAAAUUUUUUAAAAGUCGUAGAAGAUUAUUACGUAAUAGGCUUAAUGUGUAAGAGUUGUAAAACUUUUAGCUAAUAAGUACUAAAAU